GACGAACGCUGGCGGCGUGCUUAACACAUGCAAGUCGAACGAGAGCGUAGAGAAAGCUUGCUUUUUCUACAAUCUAGUGGCAAACGGGUGAGUAACGCGUAAACAACCUGCCCUACGGAUGGGGACAACAGCUGGAAACGGCUGCUAAUACCGAAUACGUUCCGAAAGUCGCAUGACUAUCGGAAGAAAGAAUGGCCUCUAUUUAUAAGCUAUCGCCGUAGGAGGGGUUUGCGUCUGAUUAGCUAGUUGGAGGGGUAACGGCCCACCAAGGCGACGAUCAGUAGACGGGCUGAGAGGAUGAACGGCCACAUUGGAACUGAGACACGGUCCAGACUCCUACGGGAGGCAGCAGUGGGGAAUCUUCCGCAAUGGGCGAAAGCCUGACGGAGCAACGCCGCGUGAGUGAAGACGGCCUUCGGGUUGUAAAGCUCUGUUAUACGGGACGAAUAAUCUUGUGGUUAAUACCCAUGAGAAGUGACGGUACCGUAAGAGAAAGCCACGGCUAAUUACGUG
rnacentral:rRNA from 1 species